UACAGAGGUCCCAAGCGUUGUUCGGAUUCACUGGGCGUAAAGGGUGCGUAGGUGGCAGGGUAAGUUUGAUGUGAAAUCUCCGAGCUUAACUCGGAAACUGCAUUGAAUACUAUCCUGCUCGAGGGUUGGAAGGGGGACUGGAAUUCUCGGUGUAGCAGUGAAAUGCGUAGAUAUCGAGAGGAACACCAGUGGCGAAGGCGAGUCCCUGGACAACACCUGACACUGAGGCACGAAAGCUAGGGGAGCAAACAGG
rnacentral:ncRNA from 2 species